GACGAACGCUGGCGGCGUGCCUAAUACAUGCAAGUCGAGCGGGGUUACUACGACAGAUCCCUUCGGGGUGACGACGUAUUAACCUAGCGGCGGACGGGUGAGUAACGCGUGGGUAAUCUGCCCUAGAGACCGGGAUAACAGCGGGAAACUGCUGCUAAUACCGGAUACCUUUCAAAGGAGGCAUCUUCUUUGAAAGAAAGCUACGGCGCUCUAGGAUGAGCCCGCGUCCCAUUAGCUAGUUGGUGAGGUAACGGCUCACCAAGGCGACGAUGGGUAGCCGGCCUGAGAGGGUGUACGGCCACACUGGGACUGAGACACGGCCCAGACUCCUACGGGAGGCAGCAGUAGGGAAUAUUCCGCAAUGGACGCAAGUCUGACGGAGCGACGCCGCGUGAGUGAUGAAGGUCUUCGGAUCGUAAAACUCUGUUGUUAGGGAAGAACAAGUAUCGGAGUAAUAUGCCGGUACCUUGACGGUACCUAACCAGAAAGCCCCGGCUAACUACGUGCCAGCAGCCGCGGUAAUACGUAGGGGGCAAGCGUUGUCCGGAAUUAUUGGGCGUAAAGGGCGCGCAGGCGGUUAUCUAAGUCUGAUGUGAAAUCUUGUGGCUUAACCACAAGCGGUCAUUGGAAACUGGAUAACUUGAGUGCAGAAGAGGAGAGUGGAAUUCCACGUGUAGCGGUGAAAUGCGUAGAGAUGUGGAGGAACACCAGUGGCGAAGGCGGCUCUCUGGUCUGUAACUGACGCUGAGGCGCGAAAGCGUGGGGAGCGAACAGGAUUAGAUACCCUGGUAGUCCACGCCGUAAACGAUGAGUGCUAGGUGUUAGGGGGUUUCCGCCCCUUAGUGCUGGAGUUAACGCAUUAAGCACUCCGCCUGGGGAGUACGGCCGCAAGGCUGAAACUCAAAGAAUUGACGGGGGCCCGCACAAGCGGUGGAGCAUGUGGUUUAAUUCGAAGCUACGCGAAAACCUUACCAGGUCUUGACAUCCGGUGACGCUCUAGAGAUAA
rnacentral:rRNA from 1 species